GACGAACGCUGGCGGCGUGCUUAACACAUGCAAGUCGAACGAUGAAGCUGGAGCUUGCUCCAGUGGAUUAGUGGCGAACGGGUGAGUAACACGUGAGCAAUCUGCCCUUGACUCUGGGAUAACUGCGGGAAACUGUAGCUAAUACCGGAUACGACACCUUGGGGCAUCCCGAGGUGUGGAAAGAAUUUCGGUCAAGGAUGAGCUCGCGGCCUAUCAGCUUGUUGGUGAGGUAAAAGCUCACCAAGGCGACGACGGGUAGCCGGCCUGAGAGGGUGACCGGCCACACUGGAACUGAGAUACGGUCCAGACUCCUACGGGAGGCAGCAGUGGGGAAUAUUGCACAAUGGGCGCAAGCCUGAUGCAGCAACGCCGCGUGAGGGAUGAAGGCCUUCGGGUUGUAAACCUCUUUAUCUAGGAGAAGCGAAAGUGACGGUACCUGAAGAAAAAGACACCGGCUAACUACGUG
rnacentral:rRNA from 1 species